AUAGAAAAAAAAAUGAGUCUGAAACUUCAGAAAGCUUUCUGCAAUCAAAUGAUGAGCCCAAAGGUGUGCCAUCAAAUGAGUGAGAUCAACUUUAGGACAUCAUUGGAAAGCAGGUCCUAGUCAGGACCCAGGGAAAGGACCCAAGCAAAACAGUUACUGAUUAUCUAACAACUGUGGGAUGUAAAACAAAGAUGGAGGAAUAAAUUAUGGAAGUUUUCUAUUUCUAUCUAAAAACAAAUAGACAGUGAGGUAGAAGGAACAGCACGUUUAGCAGAGCCAUUGUCUUCCUCAUUCUCAUGGGGACGCUUUCUCGUUGUGGUUGGCUGGAAGAAAAACACAGGAGGAUGGCUCCAGGAAACCAGUGUCACCUGAUUUGAUUGUGGCUACAUUUGAAUUGAUGGAUAAGGUAAGAAAUAUUUUUCCAUUGAUGUAACAAAGACCUGUGGUUUUUCUUCAGCAUGCAACCAAACUAAUCUUGUACCAUUCAAAAGACUUCAGUGAAGAUUUCAGAGGCAGAAACAGCAUAAGUGUUUAUGUGCCUUUAAAAAAUGUUUUAUUAAGUAAAUACAGGUAAGAAGACAUUUCCACUGAGCAGUACUUAGGUUUACACAGCUCAACAAGUUUUUAAAGUUCUAGAUUUAAGCAAAGAAUAAACAACUUGUUUUGAAAACACUAAUUUGAAAGCAGUACUAGUUUAAAUAAAUCUGCAGAACAUGCUUACUUCUAGUAUCUGAAAAAUUCCCUACUGCCCCCAAAAUCAUCAGAGGGCUAGCAGGCUGGCCACAGAGAGAAUGUGGAUUUUCCUGCUGACUUGUAAAGUCGAUACUUCCAGACAACACAAGAGGGAGAGAGGAGCCAGUAACUCCUCACUACUGACAGGAACAGGACUGGGGAGCUCUUUUGGUGAUAUGAGAUGUGUGAUACCUAGAGCUGAGCAUGCUGGAUGCUGGCCUUCCAAGCAGUCUACAUCACCUAUGAACACCUGACACUCUGAACAACAGCCCCUGGAGGGAAACAGCUCAAAGAGCAGCAGCUGAGUGCUAGACAACAUCUGGAUUUUUGGCUAUGAUGUUUUCUGGAACCUUCUGUCCUGUCUUCAAAAUUAAAUUUAACAGUAAGAGAUGUCCUUACAUGGAAUAUAUAAUCAAAUUAAUAACAACUUGAAUAUAUAUAUAUAUAGAUAUAUCUUAAAUUCUUAGCUCAUCUAGAUCAGUCAUCUAUUUCCCCUUCCCCCUUAUGCAUACCAGCAAUUUUUAAAAUCAGUGUUGCAUGGUUUCUGAAUAACUUUUUCUGCUCAGAUUUAUAAUUCAAAUGUAAGAGUCUAUAUCUGAUGAACUCAUUGUAAAUGUUACACACAUAACUACAGUAAGUAAAACCCAUGAAUGCCAGGAAAUGCUUCCUGAUGCCCAGGAGCAUAAUCAAGACAAGUUAAUCACUUUAAAAAGUAAUCCACCCAUGUUUUUUGUCUCAGAACACUAUCAGCUGUUGAGCACUGAGGGAUACUCCCUUGCUUCCCUCAUUUCUUAUGCUCUUCACCAAAGCCUCUGAAAUUCUCCUGUUCCCAGUGGGGGAACAGGAAUAGUCUUGUGCUUGGUGUGAAUAAACAGAACCUGUUGAAUGGCUCAGAUGUAGGCUGGGUGACAUUUUUCAGCCUCUUCAAGCAAAAAUAUUCAAGAAAGCUCAUCGGUUCAGUGGGUACCUCUGCCAAAAUUAAGAAAAGACCACCUAAAGACUAUCCCUCUCAAACCUAAUUAGACUGUAACAGGAGGCAGGGAAACCAUCACUUCCUACUCAGAGGAUUCCCAAAGCAGGGACACUUAUUCCUGCACAGCAGAGUAAAAACAAACUAGUAUUGGAUGCUUGCCAGAAACAAACUGCACUGCCUGCCCACACAAACAUCUGAGGAGAUGGGGCUCUGUUCCAAUGCCCAGAAGGAGAGGUCCAUCCUACCAGAACCACAGUCAGACUUGGGCUCUAAAAAACACAUCUGGAUCUCACGUGUGGAAGAGUUCUGGGAAGAGGUGUCUCAAAGGGAUGCAGAAGCUGCUUACUGUAUUGAAAGAAGGUAUCCAGGAGACUACUCCAUGCUGCUUUUGCAGUCUCUCUACAGGGACUAUUGAAAACACAUGAUAUGAACAAGUUAUCCCUCAAACAACACAGCUUUCACUUAAAACUCAAUUCCUACCUGAAGCCAAGGAUGCUCUAAGGCCUCCUCUGUGGUAAGGCGUUUGCUUGGAUCCACUACUAACAGCUUCUUCACAAGAUCCAGAGCUAAGACAAUAAAAUGAGCUGGUUGGCAUGUGGUCAAUACACUCAUUACCUGAAAUUUGCCUACACCAAAACUACCUGUGACAAUGUUCCUUACACCCCUUCAGAGCAAUGCACACAAGUGCAGGCUGGGCAGAUCCCUUUUCUUUUUCUGUGCAUGGGAAGGGCUGCAGACUGCAACCAUCCUUCCUUCACAUGCACACAACUCCACACUUCUCAGUAUACCAGAAUUACCCUUAGAUAUAUUUAGCAUAUACACAGUUUAUGUUCUGAGCAUGCACAGGAGGCUCAGCACUUCCCUAAAAGCUUCAGUAUUACUGUGGAAAAGCAAAGACAGCUUAAUUUAUCCUGGUUUACAGUGUCUUGGAAAGCAGAUUAUCCAUCUGGGAAAGUGGGAGAGAAGAGACAGGACAUACACAUGUAUGCUCAACAUAAACUUUCAUCUUCUUAGGAAGCUGCUUAGUAGACACUGUGAAAAAUAUGGCAUUUAUGUUGUAUUUCAUUACUCCAAAUCUCCCAUAAAGGAAUUUCAGCAAGAUUUAGUUUUCAUUUGAUCAGAUUAUUCUGAGUACAUAUCAGUAGGACUAUGGAAAGUAUGUUAAAAUUGUACAUUCUCAUGAAGGUCUGAUUUAAUAUUGAAUAAGCUCCAAACUAUUCAGGAAGAAGUUAUAUUUGAUAAGUUUAUUAGACAAAGGAUGACCACAUAAUUCCUCUGCACAUAAAAAGAAGUGUCCAAGGUAAAUACUACAGUUAUUUUGAGUAUAUAAAAUGUCCUGAAAAACUAAAAGCACACAGACAGUAAUUAUCAUUUUAGUUUGCUAUGCAAAAACUCAGUUUCACAGACUACUUCACUUACAGUGGGCCAAACAUAAUAGAUGAUUCCUCAAAUGUGACUGACACUUUCAGCUCAAAGACUAGCACCAUGAAAGGACUCUCUUGGAACGUUUGUUUUUUGGAAUUCUAACUCCUAUUCCUUAAAUUACUGGUAUUUUUGGUUCAAUACUUGAAGAAUCUUUAGGCAAAGUCUGUAGACCAGCUUGAUAAAGUCAGAAGAAAAAGUGAAAAGAGGAGAAACAGAUGUAUGUGCCCACAAACUCUGUACUUGUGUGGUUAAUUAUGCUAAAUACUACUAAGAAAUCUCUUCAAUAAUAAAGUAUGUGCUCUUUCUAAUGCUUUAACUAUGAACUUCAAAAAAUAUUUUAAAUAUAUUAGCUUAAAAAUGAAACAUAUUAACACACAAUGUGUCAUGCAGCUGAAAGGAGGAUAAAGGAAAAUAAAUCUACAAGAAGAGGUAGAUUUUUGCUACCCACUGUGCUGGAGUCAUACCCAUGUCUGACACAUGCUUCCACUCUUUUGCAAUGAAUGUGUAUUUUCCACGAGUGAUUUGAUCCUUCAGAGAGAGCUGAGUAUUUUGCUCAUUGAAUGGUGGAUAUCCACACAAGCUGUAUAAAAGAGAAGUUAAACAACACUGAAUUUCUCAUAGCAAAUGAAACACUGAAAUCACACAUUUUAAGGCAGUGUUUUUAUACAUGUAGAGUUUUAAACUUUCCCUUCCUCAAACAGACACUGAAGUUGCCAAGUCUCAAGCCAUGCAUGUCAAAGACUGCCCAGUGAAGGUACAGCUACACAAUAUCUUACCAUACAAAAAGAAUAACUCCUAAACUCCAGCAGUCCACAGCUCGGCUGUAUCCAGCAGUCCCAAGUGAAUUUAGAACCUCAGGAGCAAGAUACAUGGGAGUACCACAUAAUGUUUUCAUAAGAGAAGCUUCUCCAAGAAUCUUGGAUUGUCCAAAAUCUGUAAUCUUGUAUUUAAAAAUGGUAACACCACAUUACAUAUGAGGAUGGACUGUACUAGAACACAUCAUACUGUAGACAUACAUCAGGAGGUAGCAUUAAGUUUCUUCCUUCCAAGCCAGUUCCAGUACAUGACUAUGAAGUCACCCCAAAUAUUUUUAAAGAGGAAGAGAGAGAAAUAUGACAAAGAAUCACAACUUACACUACAAAAAAAAAUACUCUGAUAUUUGGAUAUAAAUGGACAACUACAGAAUAAAGGUAUUGUAGCCUAUUAGAAAAGUUUACAUGAAAAAUAUGCAUUUCAGUAUGUAAAUAGAGUCAAUGCUUUCUCUGGGGGAAAAUAAAAACAACACAAGAGAAAAUACAGAACCCUAAUUUCACCCCCCCCAAAAAAAAACC